GUCUACAGCCAUGCCACCCUGAAUGUGCCCAAUCUCGUGUGAUCUUGGAAGCUAAGCAGGGUCAGGCAUGGUUAGUACUUGGAUGGGAGACCACCUAGGAAUACCAAGUGCUGUAGGCA
rnacentral:rRNA from 1 species